ACGCUGAAGAGAGGAGCUUGCUCUUCUUGGAUGAGUUGCGAACGGGUGAGUAACGCGUAGGUAACCUGCCUUGUAGCGGGGGAUAACUAUUGGAAACGAUAGCUAAUACCGCAUAACAAUGGAUGACACAUGUCAUUUAUUUGAAAGGGGCAAUUGCUCCACUACAAGAUGGACCUGCGUUGUAUUAGCUAGUAGGUGAGGUAACGGCUCACCUAGGCGACGAUACAUAGCCGACCUGAGAGGGUGAUCGGCCACACUGGGACUGAGACACGGCCCAGACUCCUACGGGAGGCAGCAGUAGGGAAUCUUCGGCAAUGGGGGCAACCCUGACCGAGCAACGCCGCGUGAGUGAAGAAGGUUUUCGGAUCGUAAAGCUCUGUUGUAAGUCAAGAACGAGUGUGAGAGUGGAAAGUUCACACUGUGACGGUAGCUUACCAGAAAGGGACGGCUAACUACGUGCCAGCAGCCGCGGUAAUACGUAGGUCCCGAGCGUUGUCCGGAUUUAUUGGGCGUAAAGCGAGCGCAGGCGGUUUGAUAAGUCUGAAGUUAAAGGCUGUGGCUCAACCAUAGUUCGCUUUGGAAACUGUCAAACUUGAGUGCAGAAGGGGAGAGUGGAAUUCCAUGUGUAGCGGUGAAAUGCGUAGAUAUAUGGAGGAACACCGGUGGCGAAAGCGGCUCUCUGGUCUGUAACUGACGCUGAGGCUCGAAAGCGUGGGGAGCGAACAGGAUUAGAUACCCUGGUAGUCCACGCCGUAAACGAUGAGUGCUAGGUGUUGGAUCCUUUCCGGGAUUCAGUGCCGCAGCUAACGCAUUAAGCACUCCGCCUGGGGAGUACGACCGCAAGGUUGAAACUCAAAGGAAUUGACGGGGGCCCGCACAAGCGGUGGAGCAUGUGGUUUAAUUCGAAGCAACGCGAAGAACCUUACCAGGUCUUGACAUCCCGAUGCUAUUUCUAGAGAUAGAAAGUUACUUCGGUACAUCGGUGACAGGUGGUGCAUGGUUGUCGUCAGCUCGUGUCGUGAGAUGUUGGGUUAAGUCCCGCAACGAGCGCAACCCCUAUUGUUAGUUGCCAUCAUUCAGUUGGGCACUCUAGCGAGACUGCCGGUAAUAAACCGGAGGAAGGUGGGGAUGACGUCAAAUCAUCAUGCCCCUUAUGACCUGGGCUACACACGUGCUACAAUGGUUGGUACAACGAGUUGCGAGUCGGUGACGGCAAGCUAAUCUCUUAAAGCCAAUCUCAGUUCGGAUUGUAGGCUGCAACUCGCCUACAUGAAGUCGGAAUCGCUAGUAAUCGCGGAUCAGCACGCCGCGGUGAAUACGUUCCCGGGCCUUGUACACACCGCCCGUCACACCACGAGAGUUUGUAACACCCGAAGUCGGUGAGGUAACCUUUGGAGCC
rnacentral:rRNA from 1 species